rnacentral:lncRNA from 1 species
GAGGUGGUGGUGAUGGGGAAGGUGGGGGAGGGGAUUUGUAAUAGUAAGGAGGUGGCGGUGAUGGGGAUGGUGGGGGAGGGGAUUUGUAAUAGUAAGGAGGUGGGGGUGAUGGAGAUGGUGGUGGAGGUGAUUUAUAGUAAUAGGGAGGUGGUGGAGAUGGAGAGGGAGGUGGAGGAGAUUUAUAAUAGUAUGGAGGAGGAGGGGAUGGUGAAGGUGGGGGUGGUGAUUUAUAAUAGUAUGGUGGGGGAGGAGAGGGGGAUGGUGGAGGUGGAGAGUUGUAUUUGUAAACGGGAGUUGGAGGAGGAGGUGACUUAUAGUAGUAAGGAGUUGGAGAAGGUUUUUCACAUUCUUUAAAAUGCUUCUUUGAAGCAUAAGCAAAUGGCUUAGCCUUAAGCACAACUUCGUACUUGUCCUUAGAUUUCACCUUCAAGUUGGUUCCUUCAUUCAAUUUAGUAGGUAUGCUGAAGGGUGAGUCUUUAGGUGGAGCAAAAAGCUUGGCCUUGCACACUGUGGCUCCAUACUUGACGUAAUCGAAAUCCUUAACUGUGAUACUAUACUUUCCAUUGCUCUUAGUUUCACCAUAGGCCUUGAUCACUUUCCACCCUGCUUUGCAUUUCACCUCCACAACAGCACCUACAUGCCCCCCAAAAACGAUUCAUUACGAUACAUAAGUUAAAUUAUUCUUGUAAGCAAACGCACUAUAUAUUGGAUAAGAUACUAUGUUAAUUAUCUUUCUCUCAAUUCUUUUCUUUAUCAUAUUGUUGUUUAUUUAUUUCUGUUUAUGUAUAAUUUGUAAGAUAUUAAAGAUGUAAUAAUCAAUAUUCUCAUUUAACUUUAAAAUAACCAAAAAAAAGUGCUCGUAAGAUGUUGGAAAUAUAAAAGUUUUCUUAAUUAGUCUUAACUUUUAGCCAAUAAUAAAAUGAUAUAUCUAAACAAAAAGAUAAUGAAAUGAAUAUGAUGUACCUUUGAGGUGUUUCUUGUUAUGAGACUUCUCGAUGUGGUUCCAGUCAUAGCACUUGUAGCUGUAAACUUUACCUACUACCUUCACAGUCAAUGCGUGGUCGUAAUGAUGUGGGUAGGGGUGUGUGGGAUAUGCAGCUGGUGGAGGAGGAGAGUUAUAAUAGUAUGGAGGUGGUGGAGAGUUGUAGUAGUAAGGAGUGGGUGAAGGGGGAGGAGGAGACUUGUAGUAGUAAGGUGGAUGGGGUAAUGGAGAUGGAGGAGGAGGAGAUUUGUAGUAGUAGGGUGGUGGAGAAGGUGUUGGGGAUGGUGGUGGAGGGGAUUUGUAGUAGUAUGGGGUUGGAGAUGGAGAUUUUUCAGGUGGAGGUGGAGACUUGUAAUAGUAGGGUGGUGGAGGAGAUGGUGAAGGUGGUGGUGGGGAGUUGUAAUAGUAAGGGGGUGGAGGUGAGGGAGAGGGCGGUGGAGGAGACUUGUAAUAGUAGGGAGGUGGGGGUGACGAGGAAGGAGGAGGUGGUGACUUGUAAUAGUAGGGUGGAUCCUUGUGCUCAUAUGGUGGCGGAGGAGAUUUGUAAUAGUAUGGGGGAGGUGGUGAGGGGGAGGGUGGCGGAGGAGAUUUGUAAUAGUAUGGAGGAGGUGGUGAGGGGGAAGGUGGUGGAGGAGAUUUGUAGUAGUAUGGAGGAGGAGGUGAGGGGGAUGGUGGCGGAGGAUGUUUGUAAUAGUAUGGAGGAGGUGGUGAGGGAGAAGGUGGAGGAGGAGAUUUGUAAUAGUAUGGAGGAGGUGGUGAGGGGGAGGGUGGUGGAGGAGACUUGUAAUAGUAUGGAGGAGGAGGUGAGGGGGAGGGUGGUGGAGGAGACUUAUACUGAUAAGGAGGUGGUGGUGAAGGUGAUGGAGGAGGAGGUGAGUUGUACUGAUAAGGAGGUGGAGGUGAUGGUGAAG